rnacentral:lncRNA from 1 species
GUUGUGUUGUGUUGUGUUGUGUUGUGUUGUUUGAGACAGUCUAUCACUAUGUAGCCUGAUUGGCCUGGAAUUCAUCAGGUAGACCAGGCUGGCAUCUAAAUCAGAGAUUCACCUGCCUCUGUAUUUUGACUGCUGGGAUUAAAGGUGAAAACCUUAUCUACUCCCCAGGGAUCUCAGCUGAACCAGCCUGCUGGGGCUCCUCCUUGGCCAGAUUCAAGAGCCUUGGACUAGACCAUCCUCGGAAUGGGAUAGGGUGCCUUCUGUCUCCUGGAUACUGGGAUUGCAUCAUACUCGGCUUUUGUAGUACUAAGGACUCUAACCAAGGACCUCAUUCAUGCAAGGAAAAAAGACAUCAAAUGUGAGCCUCCCCCUGCCAGAGCCUGACAAAUACAGAGAUGGAUGCUUGAAGCCAACUAUUGGACUAAGCACAGGGUCCCCAAUGGAGGAGCUAAAGAAAGGACUGAAGAAGUUGAAGGGGUUUGCAACCCCACAGGAAGAACAAUAUGAACCAACCCCAAGAGCUCCCAGGGACUAAGUCAUCAACAAAGAGUACACAUGGCUCCAGCUGCAUACAUUGCAGAGGAUGGCCUUGUCAUGCAUCAAUGGGAGGAGGGGCGCUUGGUCCUAUGAAAGCUUGAUAGAUGCCCCAGUGUAGGGGAAUUGAGGGUGGGAAGGUGGGAG